rnacentral:rRNA from 1 species
ACACGUAGGGGCCUGACGUUGUUCGGAAUCAUUGGGCGUAAAGGGCGCGCAGGCGGCCGUCCAAGUCCGGUGUUAAAUGGUCGGGCUCAACCCGAUCAUGCGCUGGAAACUGGGCGGCUUGAGUCCCGUAGGGGAUGCCGGAAUUCCAGGUGUAGGGGUGAAAUCUGUAGAUAUCUGGAAGAACACCGAUGGCGAGGGCAGGCAUCUGGCCGGAGACUGACGCUGAGGCGCGAAGGCGCGGGGAGCGAACAGGUUUAGAUACCCUGGUAGUCCGCGCAGUAAACGAUGCGCACCAGGUGUCGGGCGGCAGCGCCCGGUACCGGAGCUAACGCGAUGAGUGCGCCGCCUGGGGAGUAUGCCCGCAAGGGUGAAACUCAAAGGAAUUGACGGGG